GAUGAACGCUGGCGGCAUGCCUAACACAUGCAAGUCGAGCGAGAAGUUUAUGAAGGAUUCUUCGGAAGACAGAGUAACUGGAAAGCGGCGGACGGGUGAGUAACGCGUGGGUAACCUGCCCUAUGGAGGGGGAUAACGUUUUGAAAAGAACGCUAAUACCGCAUAAGCGCACAGUAUCGCAUGGUACAGUGUGAAAAACUCCGGUGCCAUAGGGAUGGACCCGCGUCAGAUUAGCUAGUUGGUGGGGUAAAGGCCUACCAAGGCAACGAUCUGUAGCCGACCUGAGAGGGUGAUCGGCCACAUUGGGACUGAGCACGGCCCAAACUCCUACGGGAGGCAG
rnacentral:rRNA from 1 species